GGAGUCAGAAAUCGCGUGUGACGGGUCCAGGCGGAGGGCUCUGACUCCUGUGUCACCUUCGUUUUGCACGAUGAAGAUCACACGUUGGGGAACUCUCUCCGCUACAUGAUCAUGAAGAAUGCACUAUUAAGGUACCUGUUCUUUUUUUCUAAUAUCCUCCCUUACUGUGGCACGACAGCAGUUGGAUAUGUGACGGACUGCUGUAUAUGAUGAUCAGUUCCUAAACCCAGAAAUGGAGUUCUGUGGCUAUAGCAUUACUCGUCCUUCAGAGACCAAAAUAAACUUCAGGAUUCAGAUGAGAGGCGAGCUCCCCGCUGUAGAUCCCUUUCGUCAAGGGCUGAAUGAUUUGACUAGAGUCUGCCAGCACAUUCUCAACACUUUUGAGACAAGUAUGAAGACAUACAAAGAGCAGAAAGAGGAAGCCAUGGACUAGUUCUGGAGCGGACCAAAUGUUGAGGUUCCUAUAGCAACAGAGCUCCUAGCAGGGUGCCAACCUUGCAAUUUAGUUUUUACUGAAAUGCAGACGUGCAAGUUAGGAAACAAAUCAAGACAACAAAUUACAGUAAAGUUAGAACAUUAGUAAGCUAGAAACUUAGUCACUUUUUGACAGUUGGUUAGAGUGAAUCAACUAAAGUAAGUUAAAAUAACUUAAAUAGACAGUAUACAUAUAUAAGCUUUUAAUAAGAAAAAACAACCCAUGUAUGCCUCUCAAGGCAAGAAACACACAACUGUAUAUAAACAUUGAUACACACAGAUACACACAAGUGGUAUUUUAUGUUUAAACAUAGUUAUUAUUCUGGUAUUUUGUUAUUCCGGCAUGUUGAAUGUAUUCCCAGCAUUUAACACCAGAAUUCAGACAAAUCUCAGAUAUACAUACAAAAUCCUUAAGAAAUUUUUAGUUAUAUAUAUAUAUAUAUAUAUAUAUGUCUGUGUGUGUGUGUAAAAACAACAAGUCUGUUUGAGCUUACGCUCCCUUCUCAAAUCAAUCCACCAACCUCGAUUUACAGAUUGAAGUAAAUUUAGUACACGGUAGAGCAAUUAAACUUGGAGGCAUCAUAUUAUGGACAACAGGGUGACUUACUGCAUGCUUUCAAAGUUGCAUGUUAGAUUUGUUAAAGUUAAGAAGAGAGUUGGGCUUCAUCACCCACUUCAUCCCUCAGAAAGAGGAAGCAGGAAUUUGGUAAUUCAUCAGAUUGGGAAGAAUUGUGAUUGAAAAAUGUAAUUCCUCCUGUCAAGGCUUGAUCCAUUAUGACUUUCCCUACACUUCAAAACAUUACAUAAUAAGGAUGUCACUAAAAAAUAACAUGGUUGAUCUAAUAAAAUGUAUACUUGCAUGCAUUGUAUAAAUGUGCUUUUUUAAAUGCAUCUCAAUUAGCAUGUACAAAUAUAUAGAUUUGUUUUAAAUACAGUCUUUGAUAUAUUCUGCAUUCACUUUUGAUGUGCUUAUUUCCUCUUACAUGUCAACACGACGAAGGAGGGCUGCACCAAUCAAGAUGUCAUCCUGGCCCGGAUUGAAACAUCAUAGCUGAUUAAUUAAAGACCAGCCCAUUUACUUAACCCAUCACACACCCC